rnacentral:rRNA from 1 species
CGGGGAGCAAGCGUUGUUCGGAUUUACUGGGCGUAAAGGGCGCGUAGGCGGCACUGCAAGUCGACUGUGAAAUCUCCGGGCUUAACCCGGAAAGGUCAGCCGAUACUGCGGGGCUAGAGUGCAGAAGGGGCAACUGGAAUUCUCGGUGUAGCGGUGAAAUGCGUAGAUAUCGAGAGGAACACCUGCGGCGAAGGCGGGUUGCUGGGCUGACACUGACGCUGAUGCGCGAAAGCUAGGGGAGCGAACGGGAUUAGAUACCCCGGUAGUCCUAGCCUUAAACGAUGAAUGCUUGGUGUCUGGGGUUUUAUAGUCCCCGGGUGCCGUCGCUAACGCUUUAAGCAUUCCGCCUGGGGAGUACGGUCGCAAGACUG